GAUGAACGCUGGCGGCGUGCCUAAUACAUGCAAGUCGAGCGAACAGAUAAGGAGCUUGCUCCUUUGACGUUAGCGGCUGACGGGUGAGUAACACGUGGGUAACCUACCUAUAAGACUGGGAUAACUUCGGGAAACCGGAGCUAAUACCGGAUAAUAUUUCGAACCGCAUGGUUCGAUAGUGAAAGAUGGUUUUGCUAUCACUUAUAGAUGGACCCGCGCCGUAUUAGCUAGUUGGUAAGGUAACGGCUUACCAAGGCGACGAUACGUAGCCGACCUGAGAGGGUGAUCGGCCACACUGGAACUGAGACACGGUCCAGACUCCUACGGGAGGCAGCAGUAGGGAAUCUUCCGCAAUGGGCGAAAGCCUGACGGAGCAACGCCGCGUGAGUGAUGAAGGUCUUCGGAUCGUAAAACUCUGUUAUUAGGGAAGAACAUACGUGUAAGUAACUGUGCACGUCUUGACGGUACCUAAUCAGAAAGCCACGGCUAACUACGUG
rnacentral:rRNA from 1 species